GGUGGCAGGUAGCCUAGUGGUUGGAGUGUUGGGCCAGUAACGGAAACAUUGCUAGAUCGAAUACCCGAGCUGACAAGGCAAUCACACGUACCUACGGGGGAAGGAUGGCCAGCCACACAAGGGUGAUUUUUACUAAGGAGGAGAAGGAGGUCAUGCUGAACGAGAUGCAUGCUGGCCAUUUCAGAAUGAAGCGCAUGAUUGCCAAAAUCAACCUACGCUUCUUCUGACGUGGAAUUGUCAAGGAGGUGGACAGCUGGUUACAGGUUAUGAGAAUCAACUGUCUGAAGCUGAAGCAAUAUUCCUUGACCCAAGGACUGUACUUGAAAUGAUACAAGAUCACCGGUGAAGUGUUCAUUAGAGAAGUCCUUAUCAACCAUUGGAACG
rnacentral:lncRNA from 1 species